ACAUGUCUUUUUAGUAUUUAAUAUAAAGUCUGGCCUGCCCACUGAAUAAUAUUUGAAGGGCCGCAGUAUUUUGACUGUGCAAAGGUAGCAUAAUCAUUAGUCUUUUAAUUGAAGGCUGGUAUGAAUGGUCGGAUGAGAUAUAAGCUGUGUCAAAAAAAUUAUUAUUUGAAUUUAACUUUUUAGUCAAAAGGCUAAAAUAAAUUUAAAAGACGAGAAGACCCUAUAGAGCUUUAUAUAAUAAAUAUUUAAGUUAUUAAGAUUUAUUAAAUUUAAUUUUUAUAUUGUAUUUUGUUGGGGUGACAAUAAAAUUUAUAAAACUUUUAUUUUUAUUUAACAUUAAUUUAUGAUUAUAUGAUCCAAUUUUAUUGAUUAUAAAUUUAAGUUACCUUAGGGAUAACAGCGUAAUUUUUUUUGAGAGUUCUUAUCGACAAAAAAGAUUGCGACCUCGAUGUUGGAUUAAGAGUAAUUUUGGGUGUAGAAGUUCAAAAUUUAAGUCUGUUCGACUUUUAAAUUCUUACAUGAUC
rnacentral:rRNA from 1 species